UACGAAGGGGGCUAGCGUUGCUCGGAAUCACUGGGCGUAAAGGGCGCGUAGGCGGAUCUUUAAGUCGGGGGUGAAAGCCCAGGGCUCAACCCUGGAAUUGCCUUCGAUACUGAAGAUCUCGAGUCCGGAAGAGGUGAGUGGAACUCCGAGUGUAGAGGUGAAAUUCGUAGAUAUUCGGAAGAACACCAGUGGCGAAGGCGGCUCACUGGUCCGGUACUGACGCUGAGGUGCGAAAGCGUGGGGAGCAAACAGG
rnacentral:rRNA from 1 species